UACGGCGGGAGCUAGCGUUGUUCGGAAUUACUGGGCGUAAAGCGCACGUAGGCGGCUUUGUAAGUUAGAGGUGAAAGCCCGGGGCUCAACCCCGGAAUUGCCUUUAAGACUGCAUCGCUUGAAUCCAGGAGAGGUGAGUGGAAUUCCGAGUGUAGAGGUGAAAUUCGUAGAUAUUCGGAAGAACACCAGUGGCGAAGGCGGCUCACUGGACUGGUAUUGACGCUGAGGUGCGAAAGCGUGGGGAGCAAACAGG
rnacentral:rRNA from 1 species